AGAGAUGAGGUGAAGAGUAGAAUAAAGAGCAGAUGAAGUGAAGUAAUGGAGAACUGUAGCUUAUGUUAGAGCGGGUCGUGGGUUAUGAGAGUAGGGGAAGGUGCAGAAGGCAUGUUCAGUAUUGAACUGGUGUUUUAGGCCAUUCUGGGACCUGUUAUGGCCUUUUCAUGCUGGUUGAGUGCUGCAGGACAUUAAAGACAUGGGAGAAAAGUGGGAUUGUCACGAAGACCCAGGCAGGGAGACGAGGAGGCGGACACAAAUGCAGCAGCAACCAGACACCAGGGCUUCCAGCGGGGAGACGGACCCUCCACCAGAGCUGCUGCUCGGCUCCAGGCUGCAGGAGAACCGACAACAGAGCAUUUUUUCACUUGUGGGAUGUGGUCACACUGUUACGUAUUCAGGCCUGGUCAACACCCAAAACACACACACACACACACACACACACACCCUGCACGCACCAGGAUUUGCCCUGCCUCUCACCCUGGAUUAGGCCGUAGCAGCCAGGCAGCUAUAUCUGGUGUACUUCUAGACCUUAGCUGUUAGCUUAAAUACAAUUCUUAGCAUUAGCAUUUAGCUCAUGCAAUAAAAAGAGAUGUUAAAAAAACUUGCUCUGAUAAACUUAUCCUGUACAACAGAGGGAACUCUUGCUCUUCCUUUCCUGGGGCGGCGCUGAUGAGUGCCAGUUUCAUCAUAACAUUUUUAUUAUUAUUAUUAUUAUUUUAUAUCCCAUUUUUCAUUAGGACUCCUCCUAACACUAGUGAUGCCCCAACACACCAUCUUUUGCUGGAUACAUGUGAAGUCAGACUCCGCCUCUUUUUGAACUGCUGCUGCUGAUGUUGUAGCAUUACCAAGUAGCAUCACAGCGCUAACGAUCGGAGGAAAGCGCAGCAACUCGGUUCUGAUACAUCGGCUCACAGACGCAGCCUUGUGCUGAUCCACAUCACCCUAGGAGUGAUGAGGGGAAAAAGCACCAUCUACUGUGUACACACCCAGAGAGAGAGCAAGGCCAACUGUGCUCUCUCAGGGCUCAGGCAGCUGAUGGCAAGCUGCAUAAACAGGAUAUGGACCAGCAAUCACCUGAUCAUCGUAACGUUUUAAUAGCUCUUUGCGGUGACUGCCCAAAAAAUCCAGCCCAACCUGACCUGCCCCAUAAACCGUAGUUAUGAGCCUGAGCCCGAUUUAAACCCAACAUUUUUUUAGUAAGUACAUUGUUAAAACUGAGCUUUUCAAAAUAAACAUUUCCAGGCUGUUCGAAUGAGCAAAAUGUGUUCAGAAUGAUGUUAAUAAACAUUGCAAC